UGCCAAACUCUAGCCCAACAUACCUGACCUGGAAUAACAAAGCUACUCUCAAAACCCAACUAAAGCAUUUACUAGUCCCAGUAUAGGCGAUAGAAAAGACACCAUUGGCGCGAUAGAGACUACGUACCGUAAGGGAAAGAUGAAAUAAGAGUGAAAUAACUAAGCUAAAAACAGCAAAGAUCAACCCUUGUACCUUUUGCAUCAUGGUCUAGCAAGAAAAACCAAGCAAAAUGAAUUUAAGUUUGUCACCCCGAAACCCAAGCGAGCUACUUACGAGCAGCUAUUAUUGAGCGAACCCGUCUCUGUUGCAAAAGAGUGGGAUGACUUGUCAGUAGAGGUGAAAAGCCAAUCGAGCUGGGUGAUAGCUGGUUGCCUGUGAAACGAAUCUAAGUUCACUCUUAAUUCUUCUCCAAGGAAACCCAGAACCCUAAUGAAGCGAAUUAAGGGCUAUUUAAAGGAGGUACAGCUCCUUUAAAAAAGAGUACAAUCUCUACGAGCGGAUAAAUAACCUUUACCAAAGACUAUUGUGGGCCCUCAAGCAGCCNUCAACAAAGAGUGCGUUAAAGCUCUGUGCUCCAAAAAAAUGUAAAAACUCUAUGAAUCCCUCACCACUAACAGGCUAACCUAUAAAAAUAGGAGAAUUAAUGCUAGAAUGAGUAACCUGGGCUUUCCCUCUUCGACGCAAGCUUACNUCAGUACAUUAUUAACAAGUACCAUAUACGAACAUCCAACAAGCAUAGUAU
rnacentral:rRNA from 1 species